GUGCCCACUUCGGCAACAUAUAUACUAAAAUUGAAACAAUAUAAAGAUUAGCAUGACCCCUGGGCAAGGAUGACAUGCAAAUUCAUGAAGUGUUCCAUAUUUUU